rnacentral:lncRNA from 1 species
AUUUUUUUAACAAAACAUUUAAACUCUCUCGCAUCCCUCUCUCUUCUCUCUCACGAUACUCACUCUCUUCAUUUCUUUUCCUCCAUCGAUCUCUUCUACAUCCUCAAUCUCUGCCGUCAUCCUCUCUGUUCUCCAUCCAUCUCUGCCGCCAUCUUCUUUCUCCUCCGUCUCUACCGCCAUCUUCUCCUAAACCCUAAAAAUUAGAACCAACUAAACCUAAUUUCUAAGCCCUCUUUUGAUAUCUCAAAUUUGAUUUGAUUCGAAUCCAUAUUUGAGGACGCGAUGGGCGAUUUCAACCUCUCACGCUUCAUCGUCGCCAUUAUCUAGAUCUGAGGUAAAUUUGGCAACUACUUCAUAGAGAGAUUUGACGAGUAGCAAGUGAUGAAUCCAACAAGGUAUCUGUGUUUUUAGAGGAAUAUGAGUGUGACUAGCUGUGUUGGCUCAGGUCCAAUGGAAUAUGAGUAUGAAUAGCUGUGUCCCUUGGAUUUUAGCAGAUAAAAUGUGUUCUUGCCUAACAUGUCUAUUAAGCUAUUGGGUCAGUGUGUUUUAUUCAAAUUAUUUUAUUUCAACAUUUUCUUGUAUUUUUUUAAUUGUUCUUGUUCGUUUACUUGCUAUUAUUCUGCUGAAAUAUCAAAUGAAAAACUUAACUUUAAGAUUCUAUGGAACUCAAAUAGCAUAUGAGUUCUAAAUUUGUCUAUCAUGUUAUGUUCUACAUUCAAGUGGACUAAGUCAGUUAACCCUUGGAUUCUGAAAAGUACUUCUGGUAGUUCUCCCUUGGAUUUUAGCAGGUCAAAACUUUUUCUUGUCUGUAUUUUUUUUCCUACAUUGAACCGUUGAAAAUCCUUUUUGUUAUGUUAUUUCGAAUUUCUUCUGAUGUCAUAAUGAUAUAGUUGUUGAAGUUUUCUUUAUAUUCUUUCUCAUUUGUUUGGUGUUAGUGGUUUUCUUUUUUCUGCCUCUCUGGCAUGACUACUCUGCUUCCCUAACACAUGCGUGAUUAAACGGUUUUAGUGCCAGAUCCACUUAAAUUUGUCCCAACUAGAUUAGUCAUGCUAAACUAGACUAAUGAUUGCUUUAAUGAAUAAGUUUAAGUCCUUUGGACAUUUGUUCGUUUGAAUUCCAUCUCAUCACAUCUGCCCUCAAAACGAAGGAAUAAAUUAUUUUCCUUGUUGAUGGUCAAUUGUCAUGGUUUUUGAUAGUUAUUUGAUGAUGUUCUGAAAGGUUUUUUUUUAUAUGCUUUGGUUGAAUUUUGCAGGGGAGUUGGAAUGUACAGAUCCAAGAAACCCAAAGAUGAGAAGGAAGCAGUUUCAAGCAUCUUAGAGGACCUACAUACUUGCACAAAAUGACAUGGUGAAUAUAUUUCGUUGAAUGUCCCUUUGGAUUUUUGUUUUGGUUUUGAAGCCUAUGAGUAAAUUAUAGUGAUCAUUUCGGCAUAUGGCUCAGGUAUCUGUGUAGGCUAAUGCUUGUUUUGAUGAAGACGGUUUCUCCUAUGGAAUCUACACUAAAGCUGUCAAGCUCACUACAGCAGAUACCGUGACUAGCUCUGUAUACUCAUUGUUUUGGGGAUUCCAGGUACCUCACAUGUUAUCUUAUAAUGUGUGUAUUGGAGAUAUGAUCGACUAUUUGUAUACUCAAUAUAUUUCUGUUUGUACCUCACAUCCUACUAAAUGCUAAUUUAAUUGGUUUAUUGGUUUCUUUCUUCUUGAUUCUAUGAAGCAAAUCAGAACUCUGGCAGGAAAUCAAGUUCCAAGCUACUUUGUUUGGGAAGUCCUUUUUACCAUGGAAAUUAUUGGACAGGGCCUCUUGCUCUUUGCUCUUCUAAUUGUAAAUAUGCAUAAUUUUCUUCAAUCUCUUGGAUGGAGGUACUACUUUCUACUAUCGUUUCUGCUUCUUAAAUGUUCUACAUGCCAAAGCUGGUUGAAGGGAUAUAGGGUAAAUUUUCUAUAUGAUUUCCACCAUCUAUUAUUGUUCUGGUUGUCUUGAAAUACAUGUCUUAUACCCUGUGAUAUUUAUAUGGAUAUUGCUUUAUUGUUUGUGAACUCACCCCUUGGCUCAUAUACCUCAUCACAUGUAUAAACGGUGCUUAUGUCCUAGGAUACUCCAGAAAUUUCAUGCUUCCUUUAGGUUAAAUAGACAGUGUAAUCCAGUAGCUUACUCAGGUAUUCAUAACCAAAAAAUUUUAAGUUUUUGAUAAUUUGGCCACUGUUUUUUCUGCUGGAAAUAUUUUGUGCUUCAAAGAGGAAAGGGCAUAGAGAAUGUAGGGAGAUUUAACUAUCUGAAUGAAACUUGUUGGGGAUAGAUCAAAGAAGGGAGAAAGUGUGAUGGAUUUGUUCUAUGGAAGUGGGGAUUUGGCGAGAUAAGCUAGCGGCCUAGAACUAGAACCUCUCUGGUUUAAGUUACUGUUCAAUUAAUUAGUAAUAUGGUAUGCCUUAAAAAGAAGUAUGUUCUCAUUUCCUAAUCUUGUAUAUAUGUUUCUCUCUCACAAUUUGGUUUAAUUGUAUUUUAAUUUGCAUGCAAUUGAUUUAUAAAGUAUACAUCUUUGUGGAAUGCCAGACUUGGGGCCAUUGACAUCAUCACCUUCAUCAUUAUCCUCCACAUCCAGUACUACUAACUCUGUAUAGAAUAAAUACUGGGGGCUGAUAGAUCUGUAAACACCUUUUCCAAUCUUUUUGCUGAGUUUGGAGUUUAAGCUUAAAGUUAUGAGAACAUUUUUUUUUUUUUUUCUGAUCUUGUUUUUAUGUACUUUUCCUAAUUAGAUUAGAUCUUGCUGUUAGCUAAAGUUGCAGGCUCUGAGUUUGGUAUCAUCUUUUGACCAUAUAGUUUUUGGUUAGGGGUGGUUUGCAUUCUCUCCUCGUUAUUGCAUUCUUGAUACCCUCAGGUUCGACAUACUACAACAAGUUGAGGCCACUAAGCUAUAGAGGUGCAGACAUACUAUUACUAUAGCAGAUUUGUAAACACCAAGAUCACACUGAAUGUGGAGACCAAGUACAAAUUGUGGAAGACACAACAACUAUAGGUUAAUGCUUUGGAAAUGGUAUUUUGUAAUUAUAGGUUAAUGCUAUGGAUAUGGUAUUUUGUAUGGAUAUAGUAGGAAUCAAGAUUGGUAAAUAAUGUAAUUACUUUUGAAUCUUCAAGUUUUAUGUAAUUACUUUUGAAUCUUCAAGUUUUAUGUAAUUACUUUUGAAUCUUCAAGUUUUAUGAUAUAAACUAUUAUGGUUGUUUUUCUAGUUAAAA